GCCAAUCAGAUCUCGAGUCAGUGCCACCAAGGCCAGCUAGAAGGCCUUACGCUGAUUGAUGAAACUGAAACACACAGAGAAACUGAAGUCUUCCUGAGCAAAGAAAGGAGCAUGGAUUUUAUUAUCAAAUAAGCAGGCACUGUGGAGGAGCUCCGUCUUGGUGAGUGCAAGCAUUUUAUUUUUAUUUUAUCUCUUAAAAUCACCUUUUAUUUUGGACUUUGACAGUAUCUGUGACCUUAGUUUCCCACACUUCCCACACUUAUUUUAAAAUGUACAAACAUUAGAGAACCAUGCUGCCGAAAGCAGCCGAGUGAUGAAGCAACCGUGGCCCAAAUGUGUAUAAAAGCAGCAACGUCUUCAGUCAACCUUCAGACGAAACCUGACAAGAGUCACCAGGUUGUGUGCAUUCAGCAGAGCUCUGCUAUGUUCUUUGAGGGACAGGACCUGGAGGUGGAAAUGAAGAACGACCAUUCCCUUGGGGAACAGGAGCAGGAGUCUGCAAUGGGCCACACCACGAUGGUGUACAGUUAUGACCCAAAACAAGUUACGUGUCGCUAUUGCUGUGGAUGCUGCUUCAUGCCUCAGUGUGGAGUAUGCUGCACGAAAGUAAUCCAAGAAUCCAAAACACACAUCUAAAUGUUAUUUAAAAAAAAUCUAUGCAAUAUUUCACCAAUGCAUCUUGCUCUACUCACAUUUUUUGUGACUCAAAUUUAGAAGUAAUAAAAACAAAUGUUUCUAAU
ensembl:lncRNA